rnacentral:lncRNA from 10 species
CACUGUGCUCAUCUCUGUAGAUUGCAUUGGGGUGUAUAAAUAUGAAAUCUGGUUCCCUCAAAGAAUCCACAAAACUUUUGUGAUAAUUACAACUAGAAGCCUUAUAAAUAACAAAUUCAUUUUGAAAUUUUGACCACAUAUUAAGUGCUUACCCUCGAUACUUUCUGUUCAUUCUCUCUUAAGCUCCCACUAUCCCUGAGAAGUAGGCACUAUUAUCUCCCAUCUUAAAGACGAGCAAAAAUCUGCAGCUGAGACUGGUUAGGCAAUUUGUCAAAUCAUAGAACUAGCGGAAUGCCAGAACUCAAACCCAUAUUUCCAAAGACUAAAUACAUGCUGCUCUUUAAGAAAGUUUGACAGACUAAAGCAAGGUUUGAGAGGGAAAUAAGCCAUUUUUCUGGUACUUUCUGACUGUUCUGUAGCCGUUUUGUUCAACAAAUCUAAAUUUUAUAAAAUCUAAAUUUUAUGAUGUAAGGGGAAAAAAUAAAGUUGUUUUUGAAACUA